UAUCAUUUCAAGCAUUGCGGAAGCUACCUCUGUGUCCUUUAGGUGAGAAAGCCUGUGGGGACCCUACAGUUACGUGGGAUAAAGGAAGACAAGGAAGAGAAAGUUCACUCACAGGCUGAAAGAAGAAAAAGAAUAACCUAAAAUAGCCCCACCGAUGGAUUGCAUCAAGAACUCCCUCACCUGCCGCAGGACUAACUUGCAUCUUCAGGUGGAGCCCAUAGGAUUUGCAUAUGGAAAAGGAAUGUAGAUUACCAUUAUGUGUUUGAAGCUGAGGAGAAGAAGCCAUUGGAAAUACAAACAGUAAAGAUGCUAGCAGAGCAGUGAAAACCAGAGAAUUAAAAGUCUGAAACCGAGAACAUCAGUGGAUGUGUUUGUCCUGGCGAGGGAUGGGAGUCCUUGUCCUCCUGCACCGAGCAGAGGAGGCAUUGUGAAGUUAGAAACAAGAUCACCGGCCAGGUUUGGGAGAAAGGAGACGAAAGAGCCCGGAGAAGGUGUGAGUCAUCUGUUGAGAAGUUGUCUAGUGAAUCAACAAAAGAUGCUGUUUUCUAUAAAGUCCUCCAUUUUAUAAAAGAAAAAUUGCAACUGUUGCUGUAUAUAGUGGAUUUGUGGAGGAUUUAGUGGUUGAACACUGACCACUACCCCACCCUUUCUGUUGCUGAAGACAAGGCUAAAAUAAAAAGGGCUAUGUUUUACUCUAUUAAAGGUAAUUUAUGCUAAUUAUUAAAGUCACAGAUUAUUCCACAGACAGUAUCAUCUGGGAACAAUUGCAAGUCUAUAUUAAAAUAUGUCCCCAAAAAUGCAGCCUUAAUUUUAUUUAAGAAGGCUCUUUGAAUAUUGUCAAAGUUCUACUCAUCCAAGGAUUUAAACAAAACCCAACACUUUCACUUACUAUACCAUAUGAAACAAGAAUUGGUAGAAAUUGCCCAUCUCAGAACCCAACCACCAACUUGUUAGGAGCUGAUAUCUUUGCAAUUUUGUUUUCAUUGCAUUUACAUGGAGUAUAAUAUUAUUACACACCUUCUUAAUGUUACUCUUUG